UUAUAAAUCGCAUUUUAUUUU
rnacentral:piRNA from 1 species